ensembl:rRNA 5S_rRNA 5S ribosomal RNA
UUUCACAAACAUAUCACCCUGCAUACCAAGACCGGUUACCCACUGAAGCUAGCCAGGGCUGAGCCUGGUCAGUAUCUGGAUGGGAGACCACACGGGAAAACUAGUUUUGCUGUUGGAA